CCAAGCAUCCCCCCUCCGAGCCUUUAUCCCCGACUCAAGUCCCCACGCCACCGCAUUCCCCGUCCUCCCACCAGGUGUCCCCACGUCCCCGCAUCCCCGCCUCGCUCCCAUGCUGCCCCGCUCUUCUUCCCCGCCCCGCUCCGCCGAUGGCUCCUCUGGCCGAUCUGUACCACCUGACGAUGGCGUACGCGUUGUGGCGGACGGGGAGGCACCGGGACCCCGCGGCAGCCGAGCUCUUCUUCCGUCGGGAACCUUUCGGUGCCGCCUUCGCUGUGGGAGCGGGGCUGGGCCAGGCUCUGCGCAGCCUCGGGGCUCUUCGCUUCUCGGCUGCGGACAUCGCCUACUUGCGCUCGGUGCUGCCCAGCACGACGGAGGAUGCUUUCUUUGAUUACCUCAGCACCGUGGAUGCCUCUGAGGUGACCGUCACAUCCGUGCCUGAAGGCUCCAUUGUCUUCUCCAGGGUCCCGCUCCUACAGGUGAAGGGACCGCUGCUGGUGGUGCAACUGCUGGAGACCACCUUGCUGUGCUUGGUCAGCUACGCCAGCCUGGUGGCCACCAAUGCCGCUCGAUUCCGCCUUCUUGCUGGCCCAGAGAUGAAGCUGAUGGAGUUGGGUCUACGUCGUGCCCAGGGUCCGGAUGGUGGACUUUCUGCCUCCAAGUAUUCCUAUAUUGGAGGCUUUGACUACACCAGCAACGUCCUGGCAGGCAAGCUCUAUGGCAUCCCAGUGCGUGGCACCGUCGCCCAUUCCUUCAUCAUGUCCUUCAGGUCGCUGGAGGAGGUGCAGCCCAGAGUCCUGUCACCGCUGGAAGGUGGGGAGCCCAUGGAUCUCCCAUCCCUGGCUGAGUCAUGGCUGCAGCGUGUGUGUGAGCUGCUGGGGACCCCCAGUGACAAACCCAACCGCGGUGAGCUGGCCGCCUUCGUGUCCUACGCCAUCGCCUUUCCACAGGAUUUCCAGGGGCUGCUGGACACUUACUGCGUCAUGAGGAGCGGUCUGCCCAAUUUCUGCGCUGUAGCACUGGCCCUACACCAGUUAGGGUACCGCGCCAUCGGGGUGCGCCUGGAUAGCGGGGACCUCAUCCAGCAGUCCAAGGACACCCGGAGGGUGCUCCGAGCCUGCGGUGCUCACUUCCAGGUGCCUUGGUUUGGGAGCAUCCCCAUAGCCGUGAGCAACGACAUCAGCGAACAGAGCCUGGAGGACUUUAUCCGAGAGGGGAGUGAGAUUGACAUGGUUGGCGUGGGGACAAACCUGGUGACGUGUCCCCUACAGCCAUCGCUGGGCUGUGUUUACAAGCUGGUGGAGGUUAAUGGCUCCCCGUGCCUGAAGUUCACAGAGGAGGAAGAGAAGAUGACUAUCCCAGGGAUUAAGGCAAUAUAUCGGCUCUACGAUGCUGCUGGUCAUCCCUUCAUGGACCUCAUGGCCCUGGAGAAUGAGCCCUCACCUAGUGUGGGGCAGGAGUUGGUGGUCCACAUCCUAGGGAGGAGGGGAGAGGCCACCAAGGUCAGGCCGAGUGCUGUGGAGCCCCUCCAUCGCAUGUACUUGAGAGAUGGACAGGUGUAUGAGGAGCUGCCCAGCUUGCAAGAGGUACGGAGCCAUGCACAAGCAUCCCUCAACCUGCUCAGCCCUGUGCACCGCCAGCUCCAUGACCCCCAGCCCUACCUGGUGGCAAUGACAGAGAAGCUGCACCUCCUCUUUGCAGAGCUGCAGCACGCUAGCCAGUGAGGGGUACCCCAAAUCACCCCCCCAGCACUGAGACCAGCACUUCUGCUCUUUGGAAGACCAGAUCUUUGCAAUGCUUGUUCAUGGCAAAAAAAAAAAAAAAAAAAAAAAAAAACAAAAGCAAAAUACAAUCAAGUCUGAUCGUGUCCCACUUAAAAAAACAGCCAAGAGGAUGGUGCUGCUGGUAGGGUUGUAAGGCACUGUAUCUCAUCACUUUCAGAGAGAAGAAAACACUUCUUGCUAUUAAACUUUGUCUGAGAAGAGACUGCCUUGAGUUCUUGCAACAACUCUACAACAAAGAGUGACAUUAAACAGGCAAGACAGUGAGACAGCAGCAUGCUCCAUCCCAUCACCACCUCUCCACGGCCACAAAGGAGAGCCCACGGAAUCAACCAUCAGAUCUCAAGUUCCUUGGAAUGGCCUGCUGAUAAUCUAUCACCACCUCUUCCAUCCGUGAGAGUCCUCACACUGCUUUGGUAUCAGGCAUUCAUGAUGAGUGCAUUAAGGCUCCCUAUACAAAUGUUAGCUCACCCAAUGGUUGUUGAGAUUGGAAGGCACCUCUUGAUGUCCUCUGGUCCAACCUCUGCUCAAACAGGGACACCAGGAGCAAAUUCCUGAGGAUUGUAGCCAUGGGAUUAUUGAAGAACUUGAAGGAAACUCCACAAUUCUCAACGACUGAUACCAACAUUCUGCCACAGCAGUGCUUCCUGAUGGGCACAGCAAGCUCCUGAGUUCCUCCAAGUCCUACAGCAUCUUCAUGGCCUUCCAUUGGACUCUUUCCAGUCUGUCCCUGUCUCUUCUUAAACCACAGGGCCCAGAACUGGCUCAUGGUUGACUUCCUGAGGUUCAAUUGCUCAGCAAAGGCAAACUCCAGACCCAAAAGACUGGAGCAGCAAAUCUGACUAUUGAAAACUCUGAGCAACUGACCGAGACCUCAGUGCAACAUCUGGGAGCCAAAUUAGACAGCAGUGAUCUCAACACAGUGUGUAUUAUUAAUGGGCUCAUUACACUCCAUCCAUGCCUUGAAGCCUCCAUCCAUCCUUUGAAGCGACCAUAUACAGAUGUGAGGGAUGAAAGCUGAUACAAGCUGUCAAGAUGAGAUCCACUGAGCAUCACAACCCUUCUUUAAGCAAAAAAAAGAACCCGAUCCCCACUAAACUGCUGUGUGGCCCAAGGCAAAGGGGUGAUGGGACGAAAUUACUGCACCCUGUGUUAAAAGGAAAAUAGGGCAGGAAGCAGGUUGUGGCUGUGGCUCUUGGAUGUAUUCCUCUAGGGCUUUUGUGCCAUCCAGAACCUGGGUAAAAUGACUCACAGCACAGAAUCCCAAAACACCUUCCUGCUGCCAUGACAGCAUGUGCUUAAUGGCAGACAACCCACAGUUUGCAAAUGUACAUUAUUUGACUUAAAGAAUACCUGUUCCCACACAUAAA